rnacentral:rRNA from 1 species
AAUUCGCCCUUAGAGUUUGAUCAUGGCUCAGGAUGAACGCUAGCGGCAGGCUUAAUACAUGCAAGUCGUGGGGCAGCAGGUCCCGCAAGGGAUGCUGGCGACCGGCAAACGGGUGCGGAACACGUACGCAACUUUCCUUCAAGUGGGGAAUAGCCCAGGGAAACUUGGAUUAAUACCCCGUAAUAUUAAGAGGUGGCAUCACCAUUUAAUUAUAGCUCCGGCGCUUGAAGAUGGGCGUGCGACUGAUUAGGUAGUUGGCGGGGUAACGGCCCACCAAGCCUACGAUCAGUAACUGGUGUGAGAGCACGACCAGUCACACGGGCACUGAGACACGGGCCCGGCUCCUACGGGAGGCAGCAGUAAGGAAUAUUGGGCAAUGGACGCAAGUCUGACCCAGCCAUGCCGCGUGGAGGAUGAAGGUCCUCUGGAUUGUAAACUUCUUUUAUCUGGGAAGAAAUCCAUGAAUUCUUUCGUGGUUGACGGUACCAGAUGAAUAAGCACCGGCUAACUCCGUGCCAGCAGCCGCGGUAAUACGGAGGGUGCAAGCGUUAUCCGGAUUCACUGGGUUUAAAGGGUGCGUAGGUGGGCAGGUAAGUCCAGUGGUGAAAUCCCCCGAGCUUAACUUGGGAACUGCCGUUGAUACUAUCUGUCUUGAAUAUCGUGGAGGUAAGCGGAAUAUGUCAUGUAGCGGUGAAAU